rnacentral:rRNA from 1 species
AGAGUUUGAUCCUGGCUCAGGAUGAACGCUGGCGGCGUGCUUAACACAUGCAAGUCGAACGGAAGUAAGAGAAGGGAAGGGGCAGUUUACUGCAACGGAACAUUUUUUACUUUAGUGGCGGACGGGUGAGUAACGCGUGGGUAACCUGCCUUAUACAGGGGGAUAACACUUAGAAAUAGGUGCUAAGACCGCAUAAGCGCCCAGGGCCGCAUGGCCCAGGGUGAAAAACUCCGGUGGUAUAAGAUGGGCCCGCGUCUGAUUAGCCAGUUGGCAGGGUAACGGCCUACCAAAGCGACGAUCAGUAGCCGGCCUGAGAGGGUGGACGGCCACAUUGGGACUGAGACACGGCCCAAACUCCUACGGGAGGCAGCAGUGGGGGAUAUUGCACAAUGGGGGAAACCCUGAUGCAGCGACGCCGCGUGAGUGAAGAAGUAUUUCGGUAUGUAAAGCUCUAUCAGCAGGGAAGAAAGAAGACGGUACCUGAGUAAGAAGCCCCGGCUAACUACGUGCCAGCAGCCGCGGUAAUACGUAGGGGGCAAGCGUUAUCCGGAUUUACUGGGUGUAAAGGGAGCGUAGACGGCAAGGCAAGCCUGGAGUGAAAGGCGGGGGCCCAACCCCCGGACUGCUCUGGGAACUGUCUGGCU